UAGGGAAUAUUGCGCAAUGGAGGCAACUCUGACGCAGCAACGCCGCGUGGAUGAUGAAGCUCUUUGGAGUGUAAAGUCCUGUCGCCAGGGAAGAAACGAUGGAUGAGGAAAUGCAUUCGUCCUGACGGUACCUGGAGAGGAAGUUCCGGCUAACUCCGUGCCAGCAGCCGCGGUAACACGGGGGGAACGAGCGUUGUUCGGAUUUACUGGGCGUAAAGGGUGCGUAGGCGGGUCGGCAAGUCGGGUGUGAAAUUCCAUGGCUUAACCAUGGAUCUGCAUUCGAAACUGCCGGUCUUGAGUACUGGAGAGGUGAGUGGAAUUCCUGGUGUAGCGGUGAAAUGCGUAGAUAUCAGGAGGAACACCGUUGGCGAAGGCGGCUCACUGGACAGAUACUGACGCUGAGGCACGAAGGUCGGGGGAGCAAACAGGAUUAGAUACCCUGGUAGUCCCGACGGUAAACGAUGGGCACUAGGUGUCGGAGGUAUCGACCCUCCGGUC
rnacentral:rRNA from 1 species